GGAUAUAAGGCAUGACGAAGGCGAACAGCAAAAGAACGACUGGUGGAAUCGGACGCCGCCACGCGGGUCGGCGACAACGCACUCGCAUUAUCGGAACCGGCUGUGCGGUUUUGGAUGUCCGAGUUUCGACACCGUGUUCCACUACAGCAACUAUGUUGGGUCUAACUACUUACUCGGAGAGCCCGCGCCAGCCGACUAAUGUGGGCCAAGACACAGCGCCUUCGUAACAUCCUGUCUGUGGCCAUAUCGCAUUUUAUGGACACG
rnacentral:lncRNA from 1 species